GACGAACGCUGGCGGCGUGCUUAACACAUGCAAGUCGAACGGAAAGGCCCCCUUGUGGGGUACUCGAGUGGCGAACGGGUGAGUAACACGUGAGUAACCUACCCUUGACUUUGGGAUAACUUCAGGAAACUGGGGCUAAUACCGGAUAGGAGCUCCUGCUGCAUGGUGGGGGUUGGAAAGUUUCGGCGGUUGGGGAUGGACUCGCGGCUUAUCAGCUUGUUGGUGGGGUAGUGGCUCACCGAGGCUUUGACGGGUAGCCGGCCUGAGAGGGUGACCGGCCACAUUGGGACUGAGAUACGGCCCAGACUCCUACGGGAGGCAGCAGUGGGGAAUAUUGCACAAUGGGCGGAAGCCUGAUGCAGCAACGCCGCGUGCGGGAUGACGGCCUUCGGGUUGUAAACCGCUUUCGCCUGUGACGAAGCGUGAGUGACGGUAAUGGGUAAAGAAGCACCGGCUAACUACGUG
rnacentral:rRNA from 1 species